rnacentral:tRNA from 1 species
GCCGGAAUAGCUCAGCUGGUAGAGCAACUGAUUUGUAAUCAGAAGGUCGGGGGUUCAAGUCCCUCUUCCGGCACCA